UGAAAAGGCCACAGAUGACUACCACUA
rnacentral:piRNA from 1 species